AGCGGGAGCCCCCAGAUGGGCCCUGAGACAAGGGCCCAGGCCCUACGGGGCGCACCAGGCGCGAAAACUCCGCAAUGCGGGCAACCGCGACGGGGGGACCCCCAGUGCCGUGGCAUCGCCACGGCUUUUCCGGAGUGUAAAAAGCUCCGGGAAUAAGGGCUGGGCAAGGCCGGUGGCAGCCGCCGCGGUAAUACCGGCGGCCCGAGUGGUGGCCGCUAUUAUUGGGCCUAAAGCGUCCGUAGCCGGGCCCGUAAGUCCCUGGCGAAAUCCCACGGCUCAACCGUGGGGCUUGCUGGGGAUACUGCGGGCCUUGGGACCGGGAGAGGCCGGGGGUACCCCUGGGGUAGGGGUGAAAUCCUAUAAUCCCAGGGGGACCGCCAGUGGCGAAGGCGCCCGGCUGGAACGGGUCCGACGGUGAGGGACGAAGGCCAGGGGAGCGAACCGGAUUAGAUACCCGGGUAGUCCUGGCUGUAAAGGAUGCGGGCUAGGUGUCGGGCGAGCUUCGAGCUCGCCCGGUGCCGAAGGGAAGCCGUUAAGCCCGCCGCCUGGGGAGUACGGCCGCAAGGCUGAAACUUAAAGGAAUUGGCGGGGGAGCACUACAAGGGGUGGAGCGUGCGGUUUAAUUGGAGUCAACGCCGGAA
rnacentral:rRNA from 1 species